UCAUCAGCUAAGUGUGAACUCUUGAAAAUUGGAUCGAUACAGAGAAGAUUAGCAUGGCCCCUGCGAAA
ensembl:snRNA U6 U6 spliceosomal RNA